rnacentral:rRNA from 1 species
AUUGAACGCUGGCGGCAGGCCUAACACAUGCAAGUCGAGCGGUAACAGAAAUUAGCUUGCUAAUUUGCUGACGAGCGGCGGUCGGGUGAGUAAUGCCUGGGAAUAUGCCUUGAUGUGGGGGAUAACUAUUGGAAACGAUAGCUAAUACCGCAUAAUGUCUUCGGACCAAAGAGGGGGAUCUUCGGACCUCUCGCGUCAAGAUUAGCCCAGGUGAGAUUAGCUAGUUGGUGAGGUAAGAGCUCACCAAGGCGACGAUCUCUAGCUGGUCUGAGAGGAUGAUCAGCCACACUGGGACUGAGACACGGUCCAGACUCCUACGCGAGGCAGCAGUGGGGAAUAUUGCACAAUGGGCGAAAGCCUGAUGCAGCCAUGCCGCGUGUAUGAAGAAGGCCUUCGGGUUGUAAAGUACUUUCAGUAGGGAGGAAGGUGUUGUAGUUAAUAGCUGCAGCAUUUGACGUUACCUACAGAAGAAGCACCGGCUAACUCCGUGCCAGCAGCCGCGGUAAUACGGAGGGUGCGAGCGUUAAUCGGAAUUACUGGGCGUAAAGCGCAUGCAGGUGGUUCAUUAAGUCAGAUGUGAAAGCCCGGGGCUCAACCUCGGAACCGCAUUUGAAACUGGUGAACUAGAGUGCUGUAGAGAGGGGUAGAAUUUCA